rnacentral:rRNA from 1 species
AUUGAACGCUGGCGGCAUGCUUUACACAUGCAAGUCGAACGGUAACAGGCCUUCGGGUGCUGACGAGUGGCGAACGGGUGAGUAAUGCAUCGGAACGUACCCAGAGGUGGGGGAUAACGCAGCGAAAGCUGUGCUAAUACCGCAUGUGAUCUGAGGAUGAAAGCGGGGGACCGAGCAGCAAUGUUUGGCCUCGCGCCUUUGGAGCGGCCGAUGUCGGAUUAGCUAGUUGGUGGGGUAAAGGCCUACCAAGGCGACGAUCCGUAGCUGGUCUGAGAGGACGACCAGCCACACUGGGACUGAGACACGGCCCAGACUCCUACGGGAGGCAGCAGUGGGGAAUUUUGGACAAUGGGCGCAAGCCUGAUCCAGCAAUGCCGUGUGCGGGAAGAAGGCCUUCGGGUUGUAAACCGCUUUUGGCAGGAACGAAACGGUGUCCGCUAAUACCGGGCGCUAAUGACGGUACCUGCAGAAUAAGCACCGGCCAACUACGUG